rnacentral:pre_miRNA from 1 species
UUUCUAUACUUUCGGUCAAACGUGGUCAAGUUCCCUUUACUUUCAUAUUGAUGAAUUGGGUCCCCAAACUUUAAAAUACAUGUGGAUUUAGUCUCCCCGAACUCUAAAAAUACGAUGAAUUCUUAGAAAUGAGGGACUAAAUCCCAUGUUCUUUAAAGUUUGAGGGCCAAAUUCAUUGUAUGAAAGUGUUGGGACCUUGACCACAUUAGACUGAAAGUACAGAGUC